rnacentral:rRNA from 1 species
AGAGUUUGAUCAUGGCUCAGGAUGAACGCUAGCUACAGGCUUAACACAUGCAAGUCGAGGGGCAGCAUGGUCUUAGCUUGCUAAGGCCGAUGGCGACCGGCGCACGGGUGAGUAACACGUAUCCAACCUGCCGUCUACUCUUGGACAGCCUUCUGAAAGGAAGAUUAAUACAAGAUGGCAUCAUGAGUCCGCAUGUUCACAUGAUUAAAGGUAUUCCGGUAGACGAUGGGGAUGCGUUCCAUUAGAUAGUAGGCGGGGUAACGGCCCACCUAGUCUUCGAUGGAUAGGGGUUCUGAGAGGAAGGUCCCCCACAUUGGAACUGAGACACGGUCCAAACUCCUACGGGAGGCAGCAGUGAGGAAUAUUGGUCAAUGGGCGAGAGCCUGAACCAGCCAAGUAGCGUGAAGGAUGACUGCCCUAUGGGUUGUAAACUUCUUUUAUAAAGGAAUAAAGUCGGGUAUGCAUACCCGUUUGCAUGUACUUUAUGAAUAAGGAUCGGCUAACUCCGUGCCAGCAGCCGCGGUAAUACGGAGGAUCCGAGCGUUAUCCGGAUUUAUUGGGUUUAAAGGGAGCGUAGAUGGAUGUUUAAGUCAGUUGUGAAAGUUUGCGGCUCAACCGUAAAAUUGCAGUUGAUACUGGAUAUCUUGAGUGCAGUUGAGGCAGGCGGAAUUCGUGGUGUAGCGGUGAAAUGCUUAGAUAUCACGAAGAACUCCGAUUGCGAAGGCAGCCUGCUAAGCUGCAACUGACAUUGAGGCUCGAAAGUGUGGGUAUCAAACAGGAUUAGAUACCCUGGUAGUCCACACGGUAAACGAUGAAUACUCGCUGUUUGCGAUAUACAGCAAGCGGCCAAGCGAAAGCGUUAAGUAUUCCACCUGGGGAGUACGCCGGCAACGGUGAAACUCAAAGGAAUUGACGGGGGCCCGCACAAGCGGAGGAACAUGUGGUUUAAUUCGAUGAUACGCGAGGAACCUUACCCGGGCUUAAAUUGCAGAUGAAUUACGGUGAAAGCCGUAAGCCGCAAGGCAUCUGUGAAGGUGCUGCAUGGUUGUCGUCAGCUCGUGCCGUGAGGUGUCGGCUUAAGUGCCAUAACGAGCGCAACCCUUGUUGUCAGUUACUAACAGGUUCCGCUGAGGACCCUGACAAGACUGCCAUCGUAAGAUGUGAGGAAGGUGGGGAUGACGUCAAAUCAGCACGGCCCUUACGUCCGGGGCUACACACGUGUUACAAUGGGGGGUACAGAGGGCCGCUACCACGCGAGUGGAUGCCAAUCCCAAAAACCUCUCUCAGUUCGGACUGGAGUCUGCAACCCGACUCCACGAAGCUGGAUUCGCUAGUAAUCGCGCAUCAGCCACGGCGCGGUGAAUACGUUCCCGGGCCUUGUACACACCGCCCGUCAAGCCAUGGGAGCCGGGGGUACCUGAAGUGCGUAACCGCGAGGAGCGCCCUAGGGUAAAACUGGUGACUGGGGCUAAGUCGUAACAAGGUA